GGUGAGCGCUGGCGGUAGGCCUAACACAUGCAAGUCGAACGGCAGCACAGUAAGAGCUUGCUCUUACGGGUGGCGAGUGGCGGACGGGUGAGGAAUACAUCGGAAUCUACUUUUUCGUGGGGGAUAACGUAGGGAAACUUACGCUAAUACCGCAUACGACCUACGGGUGAAAGCAGGGGAUCUUCGGACCUUGCGCGAUUGAAUGAGCCGAUGUCGGAUUAGCUAGUUGGCGGGGUAAAGGCCCACCAAGGCGACGAUCCGUAGCUGGUCUGAGAGGAUGAUCAGCCACACUGGAACUGAGACACGGUCCAGACUCCUACGGGAGGCAGCAGUGGGGAAUAUUGGACAAUGGGCGCAAGCCUGAUCCAGCCAUACCGCGUGGGUGAAGAAGGCCUUCGGGUUGUAAAGCCCUUUUGUUGGGAAAGAAAAGCAGCAGGUUAAUACCCCGCUGUUCUGACGGUACCCAAAGAAUAAGCACCGGCUAACUUCGUG
rnacentral:rRNA from 1 species